rnacentral:lncRNA from 1 species
CGCGGUUCGGACUCGGGGGCUCGUGGUGGGGCGGGGAUGGGGAUGCUGCCUCGCCCACCCCGCGGCGGACUUCAGUAAAUUCCGUUAGAAUCAGAAGAGAACGAACUUUUACGUAGAAGAAAAUGUCUUAAUUUUUGAAGCACGAUUGCCGUGCAAUAAACCACACAUACUUGAAGUGUGCAACUUGAUGAGUUUGGCACAUAUGUGAAGUUUGACAUAUGCAGUCACGCGCCACAUAGGGACACUUUGGUCAACGACGGACCACGUACAGGACAGUGGUCCCAUAAGGCUGCUGUGUGGAGAUGGACUGAAGGGAGCAGAUGCAGACCCCAGCCAGUGCACAGGCCCCUUGGCCACUCAUCCUGCCUGUGUCACCAGAGCCACGCUUCCCUUGAGAGCAGUGCCAAGAAGCGAGAAGGAAGAUGAGCCCUGGCCGGCCUCCCUUGGGGUCUCCGGUGGUAGGAAUCGGGAAAGACACCUACUCAAGAGGAAGGGCUCCAGCUCCAUCCCAUGAAUCAGUGUACUCUGUGAGCAGAAGAGCGUCGCCAAGGAGGAAGAAAAGAUCUGUAAGCAGCGGCAGCAGAAUCGACAGGGUCAUUCCGGGUGCAGGAGGACAGACGGGGCUCCAGCAGGAGGACGACGUGCAUCGCCAGCCAGCCUGCCUGCUUCCCUCUGGAAAGAGGUGGAGGAAGAUUUGGGCCACAGAGAGGCCGGGGAGGAGGCCAUGGAGCAGAAGCUGGAUGCUGCAGCCCAAGCCAAGGAGCCCCCAGAAGCUGGAAGAGGUGCAGGCCCAUGCUGGGGGCUGGGAAGACAGGCCCAUCCUCAGGCCCUUGUUGGCCUGAGUCGCUCUGCCCACAUCAUCUCAAACACAAAUGGACCCUCAUCAAUUGAAAGUUUUUUCUAAAAAAAAAAAAUUCUGAAUGGAUUUUUGUAGUUUUGAGACAGGAACCAUCGGUAAGGCCCUGGGCCUAACAAGAUAAGGUCCCUAACCAAUCAGGAAGCUAGGAGAAUCAGAUCGAGGCCCCCAAGAUCCACAUCCCACAGCCUCCGGACUUCCCUCAGGACUCCCCCCCCCCCCCCCCCCCCCCGCCCGCUUACACUCGGCCCUAGCACCUAGGAGUCCACUGAAGGUGACCCCCGCCGCAUUAGCAUAGUAAAAAUCACACCCAGGGUGGAGAGCUAGCGUGUUAAUGAUACGACGCAUGUACACCUCUGCAUGCCGUGACGAGGGCCUCCUCCCUAACCUUCGCCUAAUAAAAGCCCCACAGUCCGCUCCCUCAUGAGCCAGUCACCUGCCCCUUUCUUUUCCACCCCGGCUCCCCUGUGCCUCCCCUGUGCACAAGCUGAUCAACUUUUACUUUCUACUCCCCGCUUUGUUGUCGCUCUUGAUUUCUACCCUGGGGGACAAUAAGAACCCAAUAUGCCAGUAACAUCCUUGCCCUUGAAUUCCUUGGCUACCUGACUCUGCUUGGAUGACCUCGGAGAGGAUACCUAACUUCUCUGUGCCUCACUGGCUCAUCUGUAAAAGAGGGAUAACGGUGUUCCUAAGUCGCAGAAGUCAGCGUCGGCCUUUACAAAGUCAUAAAACGACGACCAGCCCAGAGUCAGUCCCACAUACAUUUGCUAAUUAAGAUAAAAUACCAGGAACCUGUACUUUCUGACUUCUUAUCUACUACCCAGCGUUCUCAGAAUUCUUGCUCCGUGAGAAAGUCUAACCCACAGAGUUCUCAAACGGACUGAAACUUUUACAAAUUCCAAAUAAAAAAUAAAGAUGACAUAAUGUUACAUCUUG